GACAGCAGCCGCCGCGGUAAUACGGAGGGUGCAAGCGUUAAUCGGAAUUACUGGGCGUAAAGCGCACGCAGGCGGUCUGACAAGUCAGAUGUGAAAUCCCCGGGCUUAACCUGGGAACUGCAUUUGAAACUGUCAGGCUGGAGUCUUGUAGAGGGGGGUGGAAUUCCAGGUGUAGCGGUGAAAUGCGUAGAGAUCUGGAGGAAUACCGGUGGCGAAGGCGGCCCCCUGGACAAAGACUGACGCUCAGGUGCGAAAGCGUGGGGAGCAAACAGGAUUAGAUACCCCAGUAGUCCCUGUCUCUUAUAA
rnacentral:rRNA from 1 species